CUAACGGUGUCUUUAGACACCACUUUUGUCUUCAAAAUUUUUGUU
rfam:Picea glauca, whole genome shotgun sequence.